rnacentral:other from 1 species
UACGUCCUGCUUAGUUCGUGAUAGGGUUAGUUUUGGACCUACAAGAUAUUUAUGGAGUCCGUUACUUCGUGAAAUGGGAUUGCAGACCUCCCGCCCGCGCCGCCUUCGUGCCGCGCGAAGCGGAUGCUGGGAGCACAAAAUGACCGAGAGGACACCAACCUGCACAAGCAGGGUUAAAUACUUGCUCUACACGGCUCGGCGGGAUUUUU